GACGUAGGGCGCGAGCGUUGUCCGGAUUUAUUGGGCGUAAAGAGCUCGUAGGCGGCUUGUCACGUCGGGUGUGAAAGCCCGGGGCUUAACCCCGGGUCUGCAUUCGAUACGGGCUGGCUAGAGUGUGGUAGGGGAGAUCGGAAUUCCUGGUGUAGCGGUGAAAUGCGCAGAUAUCGAGAGGAACACCUGCGGCGAAGGCGGGUUGCUGGGCUGACACUGACGCUGAAGCGCGAAAGCUAGGGGAGCGAACGGG
rnacentral:rRNA from 1 species